rnacentral:rRNA from 1 species
CCACGAACGCUGGCGGCGUGCCUAAUACAUGCAAGUCGAGCGGACAGAAGGGAGCUUGCUCCCGGAUGUUAGCGGCGGACGGGUGAGUAACACGUGGGUAACCUGCCUGUAAGACUGGGAUAACUCCGGGAAACCGGAGCUAAUACCGGAUAGUUCCUUGAACCGCAUGGUUCAAGGAUGAAAGACGGUUUCGGCUGUCACUUACAGAUGGACCCGCGGCGCAUUAGCUAGUUGGUGGGGUAAUGGCUCACCAAGGCGACGAUGCGUAGCCGACCUGAGAGGGUGAUCGCCACACUGGGACUGAGACACGCCCAGACUCCUACGGGAGGCAGCAGUAGGGAAUCUUCCGCAAUGGACGAAAGUCUGACGGAGCAACGCCGCGUGAGUGAUGAAGGUUUCGGAUCGUAAAGCUUUUUUGUUAGGGAAGAACAAGUGCGAGAGUAACUGCUCGCACCUUGCGGUACCUAACCAGAAAGCCACGGUUAAUACGUGCCAACAGCCGGGUAAUACGUAGGUGCAAGCGUUGCCCGGAAUAUUGGGGUAAAGGGCUCCAAGCGGUUUCUUAAGUUUGAUGGGAAAGCCCCCGCUCAACCGGGGAGGGUUCUUGGAAACUGGGAAAAUUUGAUGCCAAAAAAAAGGAAAGAGGAAUUCCCCCGUUGGGCGGGAAAAAGCCUAAAAAUUUUGGGGGCAACCCCAAAGGGGGAAGUGGACUUUUUUGGUUUUAAAAUUGACCCCUAGGGGAGCGAAACACUAGUUUGGGCCAAAAAGGAUUUCAAAAGCCCCUGGGGAGGCCAACCCCCCAAAAAAAAAAAGGGGUCUAAAUUUUAAAUGGGGUUUGCCCCCCCUUUUAGGGGGGCGGGGCCAAAACGAAACAAAAG